CCUACGGGUGGCAGCAGUGAGGAAUAUUGGACAAUGGGCGAGAGCCUGAACCAGCCAAGUCGCGUGAGGGAGUACUGCCCUAUGGGUUGUAAACCUCUUUUGUCGGGGAGCAAAAGCCGGACGUGUCCGGCUGUGAGAGUACCCGAAGAAAAAGCAUCGGCUAACUCUGUGACAGCAGCCGCGGUAAUACGGAGGAUGCGAGCGGUAUCCGGAUUUAUUGGGGUUAAAGGGUGCGCAGGCGGAUUUUUAAGUCAGCGGUCAAAUCGUGGGGCUCAACCCCAUCCAGCCGUUGAAACUGGGGAUCUAGAGUGUGCGAGAGGUAUGCGGAAUGCGUGGUGUAGCGGUGAAAUGCAUAGAUAUCACGCAGAACCCCGAUUGCGAAGGCAGCAUACCGGUGCACAACUGACGCUCAGGCACGAAAGCGUGGGUAUCGAACAGGAUUAGAUACCCGAGUAGUC
rnacentral:rRNA from 1 species